GUGGAUUUUGCGGCCAGAGCAGCCUGAAAGAAAGUGAAAAUAACGACGCUGAACGUGACAUCGGAGCAGCGAGGGAAUGCUGCGUAGCUGACAUUCCGAGCAGCCUGAGAGGAGGAGGAGGAGGCCUAGGAUAGGCAUCGGGCAUCAACGUACCAACACUUCUGAAAAUAUCCACGCUGGAAGGACCAUCAGCUUCGCAUCGAGGGAACACGAUGGACAUCUCGAGCAGCCUGAGAAGAGGUGGAGGCCUAGGAGAGGCAUCGGGCAUCGGCGUACUUAACACUUCUGAAAAUAUUCACGCAGGAAGGAGUAUCUUCGCAUCGAGGAAACAGUAACUGACAUCCCGAGCAGCCUGAGAGGAGGUGGAGGCCUAGG